GACCAAGAGUAAAAAAAAGAGGGAAAGAAGAAAAGCAAAAGACAAAAACUUUAACAAAAACAUGUUUUUAGUCGUUUUUGCUCUUUAACAUCAUCGUUCAAACAUCUUAACUUCCUCCUCUGAGAUUUUGAUUUGGUGAAGGAGGUUUUUAUUUGAACAUUGCACAGCUAGUUAAUGCUACAACACUUUUCGUUUAACACUGUGAAGCAGACAACCUUGCCUGUUGGCCGCUGUUGAUUAAUGACCUCAUAUUUUGUUAAUUAGACAGUCAGCCCUGAGGCAGAAAGAUUUAAUUUCCCCUUCAUCAUCAUUGCUGAGGAAAAAAAAAUCUACUGAUUGAAGAGGGGCAGAGGACCGAAGGAAAGAGGAAAGGAAAGGACAAGAAAGGAGACGUUAAAGAAGGGACUGUAGAAGAUGAAAACUUGUAAAGAGGCAAACAGGAAAAGAAAAGGAAACCUGGACCUUACCUUGAGUUUGCCUGAGUUCAUUAAAAAACCACCAGGAGUCCGAGCUCUAUCAGUCAUCACUCAAGGCCAGUUAGGAUCACCUCUGACUCAAACAACAGAGCCUUCAGCUGAUCAUCUGAGCCCAUCAUCUCAGCCUUGGGGUAACCAUGUGUGAGCUGGCUGCCUCUGGCUCCGCCAUACCAAGAAGUUGGCUUCAACAUAGAGAGACGUCACUUGUCCCUAACAGCUAGCCAAACCUAUCGACCUGCAGUGAUAUGUGGCUCAUACUGGGAAUAUCGCUGAUAGGAACAGCAUGCUGGUCACUAGUAGCUAUGUGAUUCAUUGACCUAGCAGUGAUGCACAGCUUGUGUUAAUAAAAUGGCUGGGAGACACAUGGAUAACAAAAGCCAGAAUACCAUCUGAUUCAA